rnacentral:rRNA from 1 species
CCUGCCGGACCUGACUGCUAUCGGAUUGAUACUAAGCCAUGCGAGUCUUUGUAGUAAUACAAGGCAGACGGCUCAGUAACACGUAGUCAACCUACCCUAUGGACAAGAAUAAUCUCGGGAAACUGGGCAUAAUUCUUGAUAGAUCAUAAUGCCUGGAAUGGUUUAUGGUUAAAAUGAUUCGUCGCCAUAGGAUGGGACUGCGGCCUAUCAGCUUGUUGGUGAGGUAAUGGCCCACCAAGGCGAUUACAGGUACGGGCUCUGAGAGGAGAAGCCCGGAGAUGGGUACUGAGACACGGACCCAGGCCCUAUGGGGCGCAGCAGGCGAGAAAACUUUGCAAUGUGCGAAAGCACGACAAGGUUAAUCCGAGUGAUUUCUGCUAAAGAAAUCUUUUGCCAGUCAUAAAACCACUGGUGAAUAAGGGGUGGGCAAGUUCUGGUGUCAGCCGCCGCGGUAAAACCAGCACCUCAAGUGGUCAGGAUGAUUAUUGGGCCUAAAGCAUCCGUAGCCGGCUUUGUUAGUUUUCGGUUAAAUCCAUGUGCUCAACGCAUGGGCUGCCGAAAAUACUGCAUAGCUAGGGAGUGGGAGAGGUAGACGGUACUCAGUAGGAAGGGGUAAAAUCCUUUGAUCUAUUGAUGACCACCUGUGGCGAAGGCGGUCUACCAGAACACGUUCGACGGUGAGGGAUGAAAGCUGGGGGAGCAAACCGGAUUAGAUACCCGGGUAGUCCCAGCUGUAAACGAUGCAGACUCGAUGAUGCAUUGGCAUAAUAGCCAGUGCAGUGUCGCAGGGAAGCCGUUAAGUCUGCCGCCUGGGAAGUACGUACGCAAGUAUGAAACUUAAAGGAAUUGGCGGGGGAGCACCACAAGGGGUGAAGCCUGCGGUUCAAU